rnacentral:rRNA from 1 species
GGUGAACGCUGGCGGCAGGCCUAACACAUGCAAGUCGAACGGCAGCACAGUAAGAGCUCGCUCUUACGGGUGGCGAGUGGCGGACGGGGGAGGAAUACAUCGGAAUCUACUUUUUCGUGGGGGAGAACGUAGGGAAACAUACGCUAAUACCGCAUACGACGUACGGGUGAAAGCAGCGGAUCUUCGGACCUUGCGCGAUCGAAUGAGCCGAUGUCGGAUUAGCUAGUUGGCGGGGUAAAGGCCCACCAAGGCGACGAUCCGUAGCUGGUCUGAGAGGAUGAUCAGCCACACUGGAACUGAGACACGGUCCAGACUCCUACGGGAGGCAGCAGUGGGGAAUAUUGGACAAUGGGCGCAAGCCUGAUCCAGCCAUGCCGCGUGUGUGAAGAAGGCCUUCGGGUUGUAAAGCCCUUUUGUUGGGAAAGAAGAGCAGCAGGUUAAUACCCCGCUGUUCUGACGGUACCCAAAGAAUAAGCACCGGCUAACUUCGUG